UACGGAGGAUGCAAGCGUUAUCCGGAAUCAUUGGGUUUAAAGGGUCCGUAGGCGGGCAAUUAAGUCAGAGGUGAAAGUCUGCGGCUCAACCGUAGAACUGCCUUUGAUACUGAAAGACUUGAGUUAUUGUGAAGUAGUUAGAAUGUGUAGUGUAGCGGUGAAAUGCAUAGAUAUUACACAGAAUACCGAUUGCGAAGGCAGAUUACUAACAAUAUACUGACGCUGAGGUGCGAAAGUGUGGGGAGCAAACAGG
rnacentral:rRNA from 1 species